rnacentral:lncRNA from 1 species
CCGCUGAAAGGUACAAACCAGAACAGCCAUCUUGGCCGCUCAGGGAAGUUCUGUCCUCAUGCCUUUGUUUAUACAGGCCAUUGCUUUUUCCUUCAGGAAUCAAAUGACAACCCCCUGCAGAAGUGCCUGAUGGAAAAUAGGUUGUUAGCAAGAGGAGAGGCCGGGAUGCUCCGGGCACAGGGUUCUGACCAAUGGCAAGUCUGCAUUCCGCACUUGGAAUCGCAACUCUGGAAUGUCAGAGAGUGGGAUUUCCCUGAAGAGUUGCCCAUGUGACUAAGUUACCCCUCAGGACUCUAUAGAAUGAGCAAACUUUUGUGACUACACCACAGGAACCUGCAGUGGGGCAUAAUGUUGUCAAGCAGAGAGACACAGAAGGGGAAAACAGCAUUCAAACCACCGGGCUCCCCAGGCUGUUCUGACUCUCCUCCUUCUCCACUGAUGUUGACAAAAAGUUGGAUUGUGAUAGAAGCAACCAGCAACCCAAAUCUUGGGUCCCUGGGGGUAGGAGAAUCUAGGAUUCAGCCAGUCCAAGGGAACCAGUCUUGCAUUUGGAACACAGUAGCAGGAUUAUUCUGAGGCACAGAGGAGAGAGAGCAGCACUUGGAAGAAACAAAGGUGAAUCCAGACAAGAGGAAGUUGAUUAAGAAGUAAGUGUGCUUGGAGAUUGAGAGGGUGGUCAAGCCUGGGGUGAUUAACUGGUGUGUCUGAAAAGGCACAUUCCAAAUUGCAUAACAUCUCAGCAUCUCUGGACUGUCAGUGGGGAGGACAAGGUGAGUGUGGGGAGCCCAGG